rnacentral:rRNA from 2 species
UGGAUCCAGAACUUUGAUUAUGGCUCAGGAUGAACGCUAGCUACAGGCUUAACACAUGCAAGUCGAGGGGCAGCAUGACGAUAGCUUGCUAUCGUUGAUGGCGACCGGCGCACGGGUGAGUAACGCGUAUCCAACCUGCCCUUGUCCAUCGGAUAACCCGUCGAAAGGCGGCCUAACACGAUAUGCAGUUCUCAGCAGGCAUCUAACGAGAACGAAAUGUGAAGGAGAAGGAUGGGGAUGCGUCUGAUUAGCUUGUUGGCGGGGUAACGGCCCACCGAGGCGACGAUCAGUAGGGGUUCUGAGAGGAAGGUCCCCCACAUUGGAACUGAGACACGGUCCAAACUCCUACGGGAGGCAGCAGUGAGGAAUAUUGGUCAAUGGGCGAGAGCCCGAACCAGCCAAGUAGCGUGCAGGACGACGGCCCUAUGGGUUGUAAACUGCUUUUAUGCGGGGAUAAAGUGAGCCACGUGUGGCUUAUUGCAGGUACCGCAUGAAUAAGGACCGGCUAAUUCCGUGCCAGCAGCCGCGGUAAUACGGAAGGUCCGGGCGUUAUCCGGAUUUAUUGGGUUUAAAGGGAGCGUAGGCUGUCUGGUAAGCGUGUUGUGAAAUGUCGGGGCUCAACCUGGGCAUUGCAGCGCGAACUGUCAGACUUGAGUGCGCGGGAAGUAGGCGGAAUUCGUCGUGUAGCGGUGAAAUGCUUAGAUACGACGAAGAACUCCGAUUGCGAAGGCAGCCUGCUGUAGCGCAACUGACGCUGAAGCUCGAAAGCGUGGGUAUCGAACAGGAUUAGAUACCCUGGUAGUCCACGCGGUAAACGAUGGAUGCUCGCUGUUUGCGUCUGACGUAAGCGGCCGAGCGAAAGCGUUAAGCUUCCC